AAAGCUUUAACUGGACACUAGAAGUUACACUGUAGCUAUCGGUUUCAAGCAGAGGCCUGAAGAGCUAUCUUCCUGUGGAUUGCAGCUAUUCUGGAACCUCAGUAGAGAAUGACUAUUUCGUUUGGAAGAAACAACU